rnacentral:lncRNA from 1 species
AUUCAGGCAGCAGCAGUUGGCAGCCUGAGGCAGCAGAGGGAAGCUGCGGCAGGGCUGAUGCCUGAGUGCACAGGUGACACCUUCCGGGGCCUCCCUGCAAUACCUGGCAGGAGGAAGAGACCUUGAAACAUCUGCUGAAAAAAUCAGAAGAUUCAGCAAUACUGAGCCCACCACCCCAAAUGAAAAAAAUUCUCCUGGCUCCAGGAUGAAGUAACUGCUUCAUCAGAAGCCCUUCAGAAGAACACACAGAUCAAGAUGCCUGGAAGGACAGCAGUCUCCUCACAGUCAUGCAUGACAGGACAGAAGAGGGAGGAAGAGAGAAGGAAUCCAGAAUCCUGACCAGUACAUCCGUAU